UACGGGGGGGGCAAGCGUUGUUCGGAAUUACUGGGCGUAAAGGGCGCGUAGGCGGUCUUGCAAGUCCCGUGUGAAAUCCCUCGGCUCAACUGAGGAACUGCACGGGAAACUGCUUGGCUUGAGUUCGGGAGAGGGAAGCGGAAUUCCGGGUGUAGCGGUGAAAUGCGUAGAUAUCCGGAGGAACACCGGUGGCGAAGGCGGCUUCCUGGACCGACACUGACGCUGAGGCGCGAAAGCUAGGGGAGCAAACGGG
rnacentral:rRNA from 1 species